UUCUUCUUUCUAACUUUUUCUUAAUCUAAGAUUAAAAGCAUUUAAUUAUGAAACCUGAAAUCUUCCUGAUAACCCUAAAGUUUUAACCCAAGUGGUGGUGUGAUUUGGAAUGAGAUGGUGACUAUGUAUAUAAGAUGAAGAAGAUACAGAGGUUUCAUUUCCUACAAAUUAAUUCUCUACAAGCUGUGUAAACUUUCCUUCAUAUAAACAAAGUCUUUACAGACAAAGAUGUCAGGGUUUUCCCCCUUUCAAUUAUUUAGAGAAAAAACAGAAAUGCAAUUUUACUGUCUAGGCACUUCAACCCAUACCAGCAAAUCGAGAGCUGCUCUGGGUUGCCUUGCACAGUGCACUUCCUCAUGCUUCUAUAAAACAAAUGUAAAUAAACUUGCAAAGAAACAAUCUUGUGCAGCCGGAUAUUACUAAGUAGUUUCAAGCUUCUACAGUAGAUUGACAACUAUUUGUAUUUACACACUCCCCCCCAAAUACAAAUGUUGUGAUCUCUCACUACAGAGGGGCAACAUAUGAGAGACAACACAACUGCCACGCCAAUACCAUGCUGUCAUCUUCAUUCCUAUCACUUUUCCAUGCCCUAACUUCAGGGAGGCUCCAAAAUUCAGCUUUAUAAAUGCAUUAAACAGUCUUUCUGCAAAAGAGGGAGUAAUCCACAUUACCAAUUUUAGUGGCCCAACCCAGUGGCCCAGCUGGACAUAGAGGUAAUGGAGAGGGAGCUGCCAAUUUGCUUUGCCCUAACUCUUAAACUUCAGAUCCUCUGUGAGGAGAGAGGAGUUGUCCCUCUUGAGAGAGCUCAGGGCCCCCACAGUUUGGAGAAGGAGCAUGACAGAGAACAGAUUCAAUACCCUGAGGGCUUGGCAUACCAUUCCUUGAAGGAACAGGGAGCACCCUGAAGUCUCAGUGGUGAUGGCGAGAUGGUGGCUUGCUGCCUGGGGACACAGAGAAGUGGGCUAGAGACUGUAAUACAGGAGGCACCAGACUCAAAAACAAGACAGGGCAAGGACCUUCCCUCCAAGGAGACAAAAAGAGCCUUCUUUUAACCUGAGAAUUUUUCGUCUUCAAAAAGUCACACUGGUCAAGCUUGUUUUCUGAGAAAACAUGGAGCAUGGAGUCCCUGGGGGACUCCUCAUGUGUGCACUUUCAGGAAAUAUUGCAGGUCUAUCAGAGGGCUUGACUCACAGGCCAUUAGAUGCAGUUUUGCCAAACAGACAAACAAGUCAUUGUGGACAAAUGUAAAGUACAAUCAGAAAACAGCAUCAUCCUUUAAAAAUAUUCCAGAGCACUUAAUUCCAUCUCAUAUUCAAGUGUCCAGAAGACCAAUGAGAAAUGCUAUUUGCUGGUUUUUUGUUUUCCUUCAUGGUAUUAAUCUAAACUAGUACAUUGCAUAUCAUUUAAGAGGAAGAGUGUUUUCAUACAUCUGAAAAAUAUUUUUGCUGCAUUAAUGCCCCAUGUCUAAAAAUAAACCCAGUCGAUUUAGAAUGAAUGCUCACAAUAUUUGCCUACCCUUAAAAAAAAAUCUCCAUGCCUAAAGACAUUAUUUCCUAGAGAAACAAGGGAAACCUUCUCUAAAUUAUUCUGUUUAGGAAAUAAAGCAGAAGAAAAGAGUCACUUGUGCUCACAGUUCCCCACGUGGGUUUAACCUCUACCUUCAGGCAUUUUGCACAACCCCAUGGGGAGCAUUCAUGCCCAUUCGUGCUGCCAGGCUGCUGAGAGCCCAGCCUUGUGUGCAGUACCUGCAAGAGAAGAUCACUGGGAGCAGUGACUGCCUUGCUCUGCCUCUUUCUGGAGUACUUCAGAAGUAAUUCUGGAGGGCAAAACUUCACAGCAGCAACUUCUAGAGGAGCUAUUUUCAUCAAGAAUAAAAUAACAUGGGAACAUGUUGUCACUGCAACCAUCUGUACUUCAAUUGAACAACCUCAUUGGACAGUACUAUGGUGAACCUGUUGUCCAUCUGUUUAUGGUGAGUUCUCAGUCACACAUGAGAGGCUCACGUGAAGGCAGGGCUACACCUCCUUCUAUGUCACUUCUGUCUCCAGCCACUGCUUCUCAGGACAGAUACAAUCUGCUGCUGAGAUAACAGUCCCAAGUUGAUUUGGUUUUUUUGGGGUUUUUUUUUGUUUUUUUUUUUUUUUUUUUGCUUUGUUUUUUUGCCUUAUAUCUCCCCAGUGACUGUAAUACCUGUUCUGACAGUACCAGUGGUCUGACUUUCCAGCAUUGACUGGAAAAAAAAAUACCAGCAGUGAGAAUAGAUGCUUUAAUUCUGCUGCUCCUUAACUUAAUAAAGUCAAAUAUGUAACAGAAUCUGAUUUUUCACUUUUUUUUAUUAGGUACUUUAUCAUUUGGGCUUCAUGGUCCAAUCUGAUUUGUUACUAGAGGAUAAAGCAAUUACAUGCUCAAACAUGAUUCACUGUAAAACUCCAGCCUGUGAAACCACAGGCCAGCAAAAGAGCUGUGCUGGUGAUACCAUGGCUAACAAACAUAACUUAUGUGUGAUACUUGGGGAGAGCAGUGACCACAGGCCUGUGCUAUCCCUCUCUUCUGCUGCUCCCCAAAUCUCCCUGAAGUGGCACAGAACCCAAACUGGGGAGAAACCACCACGGAGUCUGCCUCAGAGGGCAAGGAGGCAGCCAGUGUAUGGGGCCAAAUGCAAUCCAGACCAAAGGGAGCCACAGGCAAUAAAAGGAAGUGUAUGGUAACCCAUGAGAAAACCAGGAGAAAAAAAGGAAAGAAAACCUCUCUCAACAGCUGCAGAGAGGUUUUGCCAGACAAAGAAGAAGUCAGGCAACUGCAUACCUGCUCUCUAAAUCACUGUUCAGUCAUGCUACAUGGUCCUGACUGGCUGGGGUGCAACAUCUGGCUGGCCCCUUAGCCAGUCCAGCAGGCUCAGGCUGUUUCUAAGUGGAGUGAAGGCCAACAGGCCUCCCCAGUGUCCUGCAGGAGCCCUAGCUGGCAGCCCUGCCUGCAGGUGUUACAUCACAGACAGCAUUCUGCCAGCCACCAGCUCCUCACCCCCAGCACCAGGGCCAGACAGGACGAAAGGCAGCCGCUGGCCACUCGCCAGCACAUCUUGCAUUGCCUUAAAUGCUGUGUUCUGACUACAUGUCCUGUUUGCUAUGAAACAAAUCUAAUGGAGGAAAUGAACAGGAUUUUGCUUUUAAAAGUAUUGUGUCAGUCAUAUAUUGAGCCAUCUACAGUGCUCUGCUGGCUGCCAAACCUCUGGAAACACAUCACACCAAAGUGUUGUAGGGUCAUGGGAGCUGCAUAACACCAGGUCUUCACAGUCUCAGAAACCAAAUUACCUAAUUUUGAGGAAACAAUACCUGCAUGCAAUUAAGCUCUUAACUUUACUCAUCAUCAAGCCUAGAAAAGCUACAUAUAUGCUAACAACUUGAAAAAUCCUCUAAAAUCAGUUUUGGAGACUUAAAGGAAAUCAAAGGAAAUGUGAUAAAAUUAAAAUGCUCCCACUUAAAUAAAAUUUUAUUUCCCUUCCAGUAACAUACAAUAUUUAACUAAGAAUUUUAAUAUAUUCAGUAAAAUAUGAGCAUAUUAUUAACCUCCUCAGAACGACACCAUUUACUGUAAAGUCAUUACCAUUCUCUUCACUCAUGUCUGGCCUCUUUGUUUCAAGUCUGUUUUCCCAGCUUACAGUAUCAGGUCAACAGACUCUAACAUAAAUGAGUAAUGUGUCUGGAAUUUUUUCCUUGCAAUACCAAACCUCAGACCAAGCUCAGGCAGAAGGGCCAUGCUGUGAAAAGGAUGGGAAGCAGCUUCAGCUGUACCUCUUCUCUACAUUCUCCAUCCUGUCCCACUUCCCCUUGCAAGAGGCUCCUGCCUAGGCUGCUGUCUGUCCCUGACUUCACUUCCUUCUCUCACAGCUCUCAGAGACAGCAUCUGGACUUUUGGAAAUCCAAAUCCACCCUUUCUCAGGGUCUAGUAGACCAAAAACAAUUCUGUGCUUCCCAUGGCCAGAGUUCAAAAUCUACAACAGUGACCGCAGAAGUCCAGAAAUUAGUUUCUGUAAGGUGGGACAGUCAGAGGGGAUCUACUCAGCUAAUUAAUUAUUUUUGGUCAUUUCUGAGGUGCUGCCCAUGGUUAACUCAGUGAAGUGAGAGAAUGUCCUGCUUGUUGCUGUCUGUCCCCACAGUCAGUAGGGCCUUAUUAACAGUGCUGAAGGUGUCAACGCAAGAGAAGGAUGUCAGUCUUUCCUCAGCACUUUAAACUUCUAUAGGCUUCAGGUCUGGGGGAAGCUGGAUGUCCUUCUGAAACAUUCUACCUGUAAAUCUAGUCUUUUAUACAGAUAUUAACAAAUAAAAACCAAGUUGUAUGGAAAAUGUCAGUUCUAUUUUUGCCAACUAAAAUAUAACAGGAAAUUGUAUGCUUAACAUAUGUGCAGAACUGCAAAACUGAAGCACAGAUAAGUAACCACUAUUAUUAAGAAUGCUAAACACAGUUGCAGAGGUGAAACAGAUUAUGCUGCUGGAUGUUUCCUUUAAUAUGAAUUCUAGCUACAGAUUUGCUUUGCAUAUGAAAGUUAAUAGAAAAUCCUUACAGCAACUUAAGGAAACAGAAUUGAAUUCUUACAAAAUAGUCAUAUAUUUAUCCAGUGCCUAAAUACACUGAUGGGAAAACAUAUGUAUUAUGGUACACAAACGAAACAAAUUGUUCCUGAAUACACUAAUUUCAGAAACACACCAAUAGCUCUGAUAGGAAGAACUUGAAUGUGAAUGUCAUACAAACCAAAAAUGAAAAGAAAAACCAAUCUGAGCAGCUAAGCUACAAGCUGUUUUGAAUGAUGUCCAGAAUCCAAAUGAACCAAAGCCUGUCACCCUAAAUCUGAAUCAUAAGUGCAGGUCUCCUCUGGGAUGCCCCAGAAAACCCCAUGCAGAAACCACAGCUCCACCAAGGUUUCAGUGCAGUGCUCUGCAAAGUGUGCCUGGAUGCUGCUGUGCCAGGAAGGUGGGACACAGGGGGCCCUGAGAAUAUGGGCCUGGCCCCCUCUGUCAGCAGGGUAACUACAUAAGCAGGGAGUCUGAAAAACACUGUUGCAAAUAUUUUUAUUUAUCAGAACAGAGGGUGUUGGAAAUCUUCUGUUUGUUCUUUGAAAGCACUCAUUUUCCUAAAGAAACAGCCAACUUCUUUCCACAGCUCUGAGGCUCGGGGCUAAAUAUUUUCCAUACUAACUUUUUUUCCCACCAACUGGUGUAGUUACUCCGGCAGCUAAACCUCUCCUUUCUAGUCACUAGUACAGUAAACAUCAAGAGAGGGGUACUGUGUGUAACAAAUCAUACACCUAAGAGAGGCAAGCCACUCAACCCUUUCUCUCUCUCUUUUAAAUUAAAAGUAAAUACUAUUCAUACCUAUAAGCGCAAUCAAUCUAAUGUUCCAAAUGAAGGAGUCCCACUCUUGGAUCCUCUGCCAAAAAGCCACAGUAUGACAUCGACCAACAGAGAUGCAUUUUUUUAAGACCUUCAAUUUUCUAUGCAAAUAAACACUUUAAUUUUUAGGAAAAACGGUGUUUCAGGCAGCAUCCUUAAGGGUGAAUGAAGACAGCAUAUGCCAAAAGCAAUUUAUGAGGAUUUUUUCCUCCAAAUUCUUACUGCCAUAUCCAUCACACAGGAUGUUGAGUGCUCAUGGUGCACAGGCAAUAACCACAAGCAGGAAUUGGCUGUGUUUUUCACAGACAGCCCUGAGUAUUUGCUCUUUUGGAAUUAAACUCAUAUUCAAAGUGAUGAUAGGACAAAGGGACUUAGCACGGAGAAAUCAGAGCACCCAUCAACCCCGACAGCCCCCAGUUCAGGGUGCUGCCAAGCCCACAGGCACUCAUGUGUGAUGAGGACCCUCUCCCUAAAACACAUCAUGGGGGAGGCUCCCAACAUGCUUAAAGUUCAGGGCUAUGAAUCUAAUUUCUUUUCAGACUGGUAAUUUGUGACUCACAGGCAGGUAUCUAUUUUUAGGGAUGGCUUCAGCAAGCUCCAAAUGGAAGCACAACAGACUGUGGCCUCCGGCCACUUCAACAGUCCGGCUCCUGACAUGAGUCCAGAAGCUUUGGCCAGUGCAAAAGUCAGGCACAAACUGUAACUGUUCAGUAUUGUAAUUACGUGUUUUAACCUGUGGGUCCCCCAUCACACAGGUUAUUUUGAAUUAUAAAAGAAAUGCCAUAGUUUUGCACUGUUUUAUUUCUCCCUGCCUGCUCAAACACAAGUUGGAAGCCUUUCCAAAACCACUCCGUCACCGUGUCUUCCAGCACGAACUGUCUGAUAUACUCUGAGUCAGCUGCAUCUGAGGAGCCACAGCUGGCCUGGAAGUAAGCCAAAGACUUUUCCCUUCAGUUUUGUUGCACAAUGUGAUCUAAAUACCUGGUCCCAUCUAAUCGGGUUCCUUCUGGGGUUUAAGGAAACUGUCUUUUACUUUGCGAGGUCUCAAGUUAGAGAAACAUCAUAAGGUUAGUGUCCAAAACCAAUUCAGACAGCAAUACAAAUAAACA